rnacentral:rRNA from 1 species
UACGUAGGUGGCAAGCGUUGUUCGGAAUUAUUGGGCGUAAAGGGCGCGUAGGCGGCUUGGCAAGUGGAUGGUGAAAUCCCUCGGCUUAACCGAGGAACUGCCGUCCAAACUGCUUCGCUUGAGACCGGGAGAGGUGAGUGGAAUUCCCAGUGUAGCGGUGAAAUGCGUAGAUAUUGGGAGGAACACCAGUGGCGAAGGCGGCUCACUGGACCGGUACUGACGCUGAUGCGCGAAAGCGUGGGGAGCAAACGGG